CUCAUCUUAGCUCAGAUGGAAGAGCGAGGGACUGUAAUUGGUUCCGUUAGGUGUCUACCUUCAUCCCUAGGUCGUGUGUUCGAUUCACACAGAUGAGA